rfam:Ovis aries breed Texel chromosome 10, whole genome shotgun sequence.
UCCCUGGUGGCUCAGAUGGUAAAGCAUCUGUCUACAAUGCAGGAGACCUGGGUUCAAGCCCUUGUUGGGAAG